rnacentral:rRNA from 1 species
UACGAAGGGGGCUAGCGUUGCUCGGAAUCACUGGGCGUAAAGCGCACGUAGGCGGACUCUUAAGUCGGUGGUGAAAUCCUGGAGCUCAACUCCAGAACUGCCUUCGAUACUGAGAGUCUCGAGUCCGGGAGAGGUGAGUGGAACUGCGAAUGUAGAGGUGAAAUUCGUAGAUAUUCGCAAGAACACCAGUGGCGAAGGCGGCUCACUGGCCCGAUACUGACGCUGAGGCACGAAAGCGUGGGGAGCAAACAGG